rnacentral:pre_miRNA from 1 species
AAUAGAUGACGCCGUUGACUUUUUCUCACAUGUUUGACCAUUUGUCUUAUUCAAAAAAUUUACGUAAUUAUAAUUUAUUUUGUUAUGAGUUGUUAUAUCACUCAUAAUACUUUAAGUGUGAUUUAUAUCUUAUACAUUUGCAUAAAAUUUUUGAAUAAGACGAAUGGUCAAACAUGUGAGAAAAAGUUAACGGCGUCAUCUAUU